rnacentral:lncRNA from 1 species
UUUUUUUUUUUUUUUUUUUUUUUUUGUCUUUUUAGGGCCCACCUGCAGCAUAUCGAGGUUCCCAGGCUAGGGAUUGAAUCAGAGCUACAGCCACUGGCCUACACCACAGCCACAACAAUUGGAGCUGCUUCUGCGACCUCCACCACAGCUCAUGGCAAUGCCAGACCCUUAACCCACUGAGUGAGGCAAGGAAUGAAACCUGCAUCCUCAUGGAUGCUAGUCAGAUUCGUUUCUGCUGUGCCAUGACUGGAACGCCCCUAUUCCAUUUUCAAGUCAUUUGAUAAUGCUAUUUUUCAUUUCAGUCCUACUGAAAGAAACAACAGAAAAUUUCAGAUUAUCCGAAAGGCCUUGCUAUUGCUCCUCUAAAGCUGAUGUUUCUAUAAACGCUACACUCAAGUGUUACGAUCUAGGCUCAUCUGGGCAAUUUUAUGGGGUGUUUUUAGAGGUAAAGUGUAUUGCCAGGUGCUGAGGACAAAUUUUAAGAGGUGAAGGGGAAAACAGGGUAAAGAGGCAGAAGUUGCAAACUUUUUAUGGGAAAGAAUGAUGGAAAGAAUCCCUGCCUGGUUGUACUAUGAAGCCCUGGACAUACCUAUAAAAUUGACAAAGGGAUGCCAUGGCCAGAACUGAGGUGCAGAAGUGUCAGGUGCAAGAGAGAUGCCUUGGGACACAGGUGACCAAAGGGGAAAUAUCACUGGGGGGGGAGGGGGACAGGCUUCUUUCCUCCUCUUGGGAGAGGUUUCUGAAUGGAGUUUUAGAGUGCAAACACUUCCCUUAUUUUAUAUGAAGAAACUGAGGAGUGAUUGGCACUGGAUAGUCCCAGGACACUGGUAGAACUAUCCUGCACCUUUUUGUCCCCCUCCCUCCCUUCCUUCCUUUCUCUUCUUCUUUUGCUUUUUAGGGCAGCACCUGCAGCAUAUGGAAGUUCCCAAGCUAGGGGUCGAAUCAGAGCUACAGCUGCAGCCACAGCCACAGCCACAGCAGAUCCAAGCCCUGUCUUCGACCUACACUGCAGCUCACAGCAAUGUCAGAUCCUCAACCCAAUGAGUGAGGCCAGGGAUCGAACCUACAUCCUCACGGAUGCUAGUCAAGUUCUUAACCCGCUGAGCCACAACAGGAACUCCUAUUGUGCACCUUUUUGAACUUCCAGAGCAGUAUUGAGGGUAAAAAAGAACUCUAGAAGAGAAGGUGGGGCAAUUUCAGCCUCUCUAUUCCAUCUACCUUUUAUCCUAUCAGCUCUGAUUAAGCACCUAGCUGGGGAACCAUUAAACUGAUUGGUCCAGCAACUCAGCACUUAGAGCCCCCCAAGGCUGCCAAGUGUGGAGGAUUUGACAAAACCACGGAGGGUUGGCCCAGUCAUUGUGAAUAGUCAGCAGAUGUCUGAAAAAUAUGAUGCAAGUCAGUAUUUUGAGCCAAGAGUGCUAGCACUUUGAGUAAGUACUUGCUGAAAUGAAUAAACAUGCCAUUGCAAUUAAGGGCUUUAGAAGAAGAGUUGGAGCCUACACGAAGUUAGCAUUUUCCAUUGGAAGCAAACAUUUGGAGAUCAAUGAGCUAAGGAUCUGGAAAGACAGAAGUCUCUUUGGCCCAGCUUGCACUAGAGGUAGCAUGGAAAUAAUCUGAGGCAUGCAUCUUUAUCUCUCUCCCUCUCUCUCUCUCUCUUUUUUUUUUUUUUUUUGGCUGUGCCUGCAGCGUGUAGAAGUUCCCAGGCCAGGGAUUGAACCUGUUCCACAGCAGGGACCAGGGCUGCUGCAGUGAUAGUGCCAGAUCCUUAAUCUGCUGGGCCACAAGGGAACUCCAGCAUCUUUAUCUUUUACCAUUUCCUUGGGGGUACCAAGAAAGCCACUUAGCUGCCACUUAGCUUCAUUAAAGCCAACCUUGCAACCAUUCCACGCUUCCACCUAGCCAGUGUCUGUCCUGCCAUUGCAAGUCUAUUUCCACCCCCCCCUCGCCCCGCCGCCGCCCCCACCUAGCAGCAGGUACAUUACAUCCUGCUUUAGAAGCCCAGUUCUAGGUAGAUAGCGGGCCAUCAAUGAUCUAUCAGCUAGAUCAUUCUGACCCCUGAAACUUUUCCUCCCCAGUUUUCCAUUUAUCUCUUAACUCCCCUUUUAAAGCUCUCGUAAACAUAUUUUCUUCUGUUAAUGAUUUUUGAAGCCCGUAAGUUUUGCCUCUGGAAAUUUAGAAAAGUCAACAUUUACUUGGUGCCAGUCCUGGGGGCUGUUAUCAACCACAGUGAGCCAAGUCUUUCGUCUUUUCCUCAGCAUUCCUUCAAUACAAACGCCACUUCAAUAAUCUGCUCUUAUUAAUAGCAGUCUUUGUAAAUAAAACAGUUAUAAAGGAUUCUUUAGCUGUCUCCCAAGUAUUUUACAUCAGGUCCUGAAAUUAAAUUGAUUUUACACCAGAAUUCCACGUUCUUUUUCCAGCACUCUCCCCCCCACACACUGCUCCUCCCCUCACCCCAUUCAAAACAUUAUUAAAUGUUACGGUAUCUUGGCAUGUCAAAAACUCAUCCUUUGUUUGCUGGAAACAACAACCACUGGGGCAUUGCAAGCAAAAUUUAAAUGGUAACAUGGGAGUUCCCACUGUGGCUCAGGGGUAAUGAACCUGACUAGCAUCCAUGAGGAUGUGGGUUUGAUCCCUGGCCCUGCUCAGGGGGUUGAGGAUCCCUCGUUGCAUUGAGCUGUGGUGUAGGUUGCAGAUGAGGCUUGGAUCUAGGUGUGACUGUGGCUGUGGCGUAGGCUGGAAGCUGUAACUCCAGUUCAACCCCUAGCCUGGGAGCCUCCAUAUGCAGCAGGUGCAGCCCUAAAAAGAAAAAAGAAUUAAAUGGCAACAAACCAGAGAACUGGAAGGAAUCUUCUAUUGCUGGAGUCCUAUCUGCACCCAGGCAGUAGAGAUGUGGCUUCAGGCAGGCUCACAGCCCAGCCUGGGCAAGCUGGAGGCAGAGAAGAGGCAGCAGAAAUAACUGUCAGCAAACCCUGCUUGGUCUCAGAGGAAUACAGCCAGGAGCACAAAGGAAAUGAGUCCUACCACUGGGCUGGAUAGGUGUGCUAUUCUUGGCCUUUAAAUCUUCCAUGGAAAAACAGUUGAGAAAGUUCUGUGAAAGCCGGUUCCACGGAGAAUAGUCCUCUUCCAUAGAUGCCUUUGUACUCAGAGUUUCAGGGACUCUGCUAGAUUUUUCCCUUCCGUGGAGUGAAGGAGGGAAUACAAAACUAUCAAAAAGUGGUUUGGUUCAUUUACAAAAGUCUUGGGGGGGGUUUCGUAACAGAAAAACCCUUAGAAAGUAACCCCGAAGUAGGUCAGGUACAAAAAUAGUAACCAGCUCAAUUCACUUUUAACUGCUUAGGUUUUACUCUGGAGGCUGCCAUUUGGUUGAUGGGUAACCUCCACAUGUGGGCUUUUACUGAUAAGCCCCCAAGGAGAGUUCCACCUCUUUCUUCCCCUCUCCAACCCCUGCUUCUGGCACUCUAUGCUGUUUAACAGAAGUAACAGCUAGUUCACGAGAAAAAAACAAAAAAAACCCACAAAAACAAAACCAAAACCCCAGAACAGCCAAUACUGGGCAUCUACUGAACUGUGCUUGGUGUAGCUGAGACACAUUCUCCACCCUCAAAUAAUUCACCAUCUGGCAUAAAGAAAGACAUGCAAAGAGAUAUUAGGAAUACAGUAAGAGGUGCUAUGUCUAUGCAGCGUUAUUCUGGGCCAGGAAGAAAGAAACGGUCCAUUCCUCCUGCAGAGCUGGAGAGGCUUCCCUGGCUGGUCUUGAGAGAUGGAGGGGACUUCUUGAAGCAGAGUCUCAUCUUGUAUAUGUGUGCAAGUGUGUAAGUGUUUGUGUAGGGGGGUGGCUGCAAGCAAAACCAGCAGCCAGCAUGAGACCUUCAGGACCUGAACUAACUUAGUCUGUUGGAGGACUGACCAGUAGUUUAAAAUUGCUGGCGCGUAGGUUGUGCGAGAGAACGGAGCAGGAGAGAAGCCUGGAGAGGUGAGCAGGGUCCAGACUGUAGAGGACUUGGAUACCAUUCUAAGGGCUUGGACUUUAUCCCGCAGGCGGUCGGGAGACACUGCAGGGUUUGAAGCAGGGAGGUGGCAUGAUCAGAUUUGUGCUUGGAAAGAUUUUUCUGGUAGUACCAGAACCAUGGGAUAAGCUUUCACAGUCAGUGCAUUUGCCAAAGCUUUUCUGAUCAGCUUAUUGAAUUCAGAAUCUCAAGACAUCUACGUUUUCCCACAUAGCUUUGACAUGGCAUGCCGAUUUAUUUUCUUCCUUUUUUGUGCACACACAUGCAUGUCUGCAUCCCCAUUAUAAUCCCAAUUAUCCACUCCUUCCCCCCAAACAGAGGCUUUUAAAUUGCUGGGUAUGAUGGAAAACUGGGAUUGGGACAGGAUUUUAACAAUCUGUUAGUAUACACGUCCCUGACCUUGGAAGUUGGUUCAGUUUGCUGGGAAGGCACAUGAAUUUUACCCCAUUUUCCUAGGUUUCUUUUUUCUUUCUUUCUUUCUUUCUUGCAUUUUAGGGCAGUACUCAUGGAGAUUCCCAGGCUAGGGGUCGAAUCAGAGCUACAGCUGCUGGCCCCAGCCCCAGCCCCAGCCAUGCAGGAUCCCAGCUGUGUCUGCGACCUCCACCACAGCUCAUGGCAGCACUGGAGCCUCAACCCACUGCGCAAGGCCAGGGAUCGAACCCGCAACCUCGUGGUUCCUAGUCCAAAUCGUUUCUGCUACACCACAACGGGAUCUCCUCAGAGACCCGCUCUUGACGCAAUUCCACCAACUAAAGAAAACUUAAGCCACCUGGUUCCCCACCUCACAUGCAAAGACCAGGACUCUAGAGGAUUCUUAAUUCCAAAUUAAGGAAUAAUUUGGUUUCCACGGUUCAGAUAGUUCCAAUAAAAGAUGUCCCUGUGUCAACAAAUUUCAUCCCUCAAUUUUUGUGGCAAGUCCCUGUCCAUUUGACAUUUGGCAGCUGGUGGUGGACAUGGCAGUAGAGGUGGGGGUGGAGAUGGUGGCGGGGGGGGGCGGUCGUGGGGGCAAACAGUUGAUCCAGAAACAGGAUGCCAAUCAAACACCUCCUUCAGGAGACAGCAUUUUCCUUAUUCACACAAAGCUUAUGCGUCUAUUUUAUCUGUAAGCGGAUCACCUGGCUGCUGUGAGAAUCAAUUGACGUGAUACUCUUAAGAAAACAUUGCCUGUCACAUAGUAACAGCUCAAAAAGUGUAGGGAAUGAUCUUGUCUUGAUUUCAAAUUCCUACUCCACCUGGGGAAACAGGGUUCAAGGAAGGAUGAAGGCGUGCACAGAAAUUUGUCUAGAAGAGGAGGGAGUGAGAACCGAAUCUGCUUGAGGCUGGCUUUCCUCUCCCCCCUCCCCCCAGCAACCUCUGUCUCCAACAACCGGUCCACAGCCAGCUUGCGGCAGAAACCAGAGCACAGACUGCAGGGGCCGGGUGAGUAGAGGCCAGACAACACUCCACCUGUCUGAGCUGGUUAUCACCAAACCGCAGGUGAGAACCCGGGAAAUAAGCCCUGCCCUAAAACACAGCAGCACCGGCCUUGCGGAGAAAAUUUCAUUUUCAGAUUAAGAAGCCUGAAUGUCCAUGUUCUGGACGGCAGGGGCUGAUGCAACACAACCUCCUCAAGAAAAAGAAAGCAUUUGUCUCCAAGUGCAAUUUAAAACCUUUAAAGCCUUUUCUUAUUUCUCCCUUAAAAAAAAAAAAAA